GACGAACGCUGGCGGCGUGCUUAACACAUGCAAGUCGAACGAAGUGGCGAACGGGUGAGUAAUACGUGGGUAACCUGCCCUCCUUUUUGGGAUAAGCCUUGGAAACGGGGUCUAAUACAGAAUAAAGGGGGAUGGGCUCGCGGCCUAUCAGCGUGUUGGUGGGGUGAUGGCGUACCAAGGCGGGGACGGGUAGCCGGCCUGAGAGGCUGACCGGCAACUGUGGCACGGAGAAACGGCCCAGACGCGGACGGGAGGGAGCAGUGGGGGAUAUUGGACAAAGGGUGAAGCCCUGAUGCAGCGACGCUGCGUGGGGGAUGAAGGUUGUCGGGUUGUAAACCUCUUUAGCAAGCGAUCGGGUAGGUGGAGAAGAAGCGCCGGCUAACUACGUGCCAGCAGCCGCGGUAAUUC
rnacentral:rRNA from 1 species